CUGAGCUGCCGGCGGGAGGUGAGCGCCGAGACCGGGGGCCGGAGCUGCGGCGCGGGCGGGGCUCCAGAUCGGACCCCUGCGGCCUGCGCUCUCCUCGGCGCUUGCUCCUCGGCCGCUUCGCCGUCUGAAGCAGAGGCGAAAACCGUGCACGACCCUCAUCCACGCUGCAGGGUCCGCCUGGUGGCGGUAACGCCCCGCUCCUGCAGCAACACAGGCCGGUCCCAGAGCGAGCCUGCCCGUCAAAGAGGACGACAUUACUACACGUAUCUAACUCGGAGGUUGUCGGAGGGCUGAGCCAGUCCGCGCGCAGCGGGCCACACGGGGGCGGUGAGGAAGUGCAGCACCUUAGCCGGUGUGCGCGGACCAGGAGGUUCCGGGGGUUCGGGACACCUGCACCUUGUGCGCAGGAAACCUCAGCCCAAGGCCUCAGAUAAAGAGACCUGGAAAUGGAAGAUGGCGCUGUGAGUAGUCCUCUUUGUCUCUCGCCCUUCGAGUCUACAAUUAUUUGGACACUUAUCGCUUGACAAAGGAUAUCCAGACAGCAUCUCAGGACGUCUGAGACACCCACGCGACUAUACAUCGGAAGGCGGAUGGACUUUCCUCCGGGAGGAUGUGGAAAUAGGUGAAAACUCUCCGACCCCGACGGGCAGCCUAGUACCCGCAAGUGGCUUUCUUCCAACGGACGCCCCCAGAGGAUCCACACACAUCUAGGGCAGGAGCGAGAACACAACAGGGGAGCGACGGUGGAAACAG
rnacentral:lncRNA from 1 species